UACGUAGGGUGCAGGCGUUAAUCGGAAUUACUGGGCGUAAAGCGUGCGCAGGCGGCUUCCUAAGUCAGAUGUGAAAUCCCCGGGCUCAACCUGGGGAACUGCGUUUGAAACUGGGAGGCUGGAGUGCGGCAGAGGGGGGUGGGAAUUCCACGUGUAGCAGUGAAAUGCGUAGAUAUGUGGAGGAACACCGAUGGCGAAGGCAGCCCCCUGGGCCAGCACUGACGCUCAUGCACGAAAGCGUGGGGAGCAAACAGG
rnacentral:rRNA from 1 species